CGGGGUGCAGCAGGCGAGAAAACUUUGCAAUGUGCGAAAGCACGACAAGGUUAGUCCGAGUGAUUUCUGCUAAAGAGAUCUUUUGCUAGUUAUAAAACCACUAGUGAAUAAGGGGUGGGCAAAUUCUGGUGUCAGCCGCCGCGGUAAAACCAGCACCUCAAGUGGUCAGGAUGAUUAUUGGGCCUAAAGCAUCCGUAGCCGGCUCUGUAAGUUUUCGGUUAAAUCCAUGUGCUCAACGCAUGGGCUGCCGAAAAUACUGCAGAGAUAGGGAGUGGGAGAGGUAGACGGUACUCGGUAGGAAGGGGUAAAAUCCUUUGAUCUAUCGAUGACCACCUGUGGCGAAGGCGGUCUACCAGAACACGUUCGACGGUGAGGGAUGAAAGCUGGGGGAGCAAACCGGAUUAGAUACCCGGGUAGUCCCAGCUGUAAACGAUGCAGACUCGAUGAUGCAUUGGCAUAUAGCCAGUGCAGUGUCGCAGGGAAGCCGUUAAGUCUGCCGCCUGGGAAGUACGUACGCAAGUAUGAAACUUAAAGGAAUUGGCGGGGGAGCA
rnacentral:rRNA from 2 species